CAGUAGCCGCGGGAAUACAGAGGGUGCGAGCGUUAAUCGGAUUUACUGGGCGUAAAGCGUGCGUAGGCGGCUUUUUAAGUCGGAUGUGAAAUCCCUGAGCUUAACUUAGGAAUUGCAUUCGAUACUGGGAAGCUAGAGUAUGGGAGAGGAUGGUAGAAUUCCAGGUGUAGCGGUGAAAUGCGUAGAGAUCUGGAGGAAUACCGAUGGCGAAGGCAGCCAUCUGGCCUAAUACUGACGCUGAGGUACGAAAGCAUGGGGAGCAAACAGGAUUAGAUACCCGCGUAGUCCCUGUCCUUAUACA
rnacentral:rRNA from 1 species